rnacentral:rRNA from 1 species
CAAUAGCGUAUAUUAAAGUUGUUGCAGUUAAAAGCUCGUAGUUGGACUUCUGAUGUGGGACUGCGCCCGUACGUUUGCUUGUUCGGGUGGCGGCUCGGCGUCUUCCUCUCGUAGUUGAUGGUGCACUUAACUGGGUGCCUUCUGAAUAUGGGACCUUUACUUUGAAAAAUUAGAGUGUUCAAAGCAGGCAAUCGCUUGAAUACAUUAGCAUGGAAUAAUAGAAUAGGACUUUGGUUCUAUUUUGUUGGUUUCUAGGACCGAAGUAAUGAUUAAUAGGGACAGUUGGGGCAGUUAGUAUUUAAUUGUCAGAGGUGAAAUUCUUGGAUUUAUGAAAGACUAACUACUGCGAAAGCAUUUGCCAAGGAUGUUUUCAUUAAUCAAGAACGAAAGUUAGGGGAUCGAAGACGAUUAGAU